UGUGCAGACUAAUCUCUGCACAAUCUUCCGAAACUACAAAAAACAAAAUAACUCCAGAGUUCUGGAAACCAUAAGGACACACACUGCUGAUUGUGGUCACCAUUUUCAAGCACUCACUGAGUAUCCCUUUCUUAGGAUUUACUGAAAGAAAAAACUCUGUUAAAUGGUGCAUUCUCAGUCCUUUGACUUUGAUCAUUAUCUGUCUGUAUGAGAAUCUUCCAGAUGAUGUGAAGCGUCUAGUCCUGCCCUGCAUCUGACCUUUGGCUUUGGCCGCUGAUAACAAGGCUGAGGUUGACCGCUGGUUUGACAACAGACUGAGGAACUACCUGAAGUUCCUCAACAGAAACCUGCUCCAGUCCUCUGACACACUCAACGCCUCCUGCUUACCCUUCAGCAGACUUGUGUAUCUACUGGGAUCCAAGCUCACUUUCAAUGGCUCAGCCAUAACUCAAGAUGAUGCGUACAGCACCAUAAAGACCUACCUCAACACAGGAAGUUCAGCAGCACCCAAGUGUUAUAGUCCCUCUGACCCAAAUCUCAACUCCACCGCCUGGUUCCUUAACUACAUUGGUGUGUUCAUCACCUUUGUGACCAUUGAAGACUUCAACACAUUUGGCUCAGAGUCAAC